UAAUUUGAAUCAUGGGACCACACUUCAGGCUAUGCCAAAGUACAAUUCUAGCAUUCUGGAAGACAUGUUUCUAGAGGAUACAGAAUUUGUCAACAAAACAUUUCUCGGUUGGAAGGAAAUAAGGGAGGCUUUGAUCCUGCUUAAGGUUUGGGCUCGACAGAGAAGUUCAGUAUAUGUUCAUGAUUGCCUGAAUGGGUUUUUAUUUCUGUCAUACUAGCAUAUCUUGCUUCU